CGGGGUGUGGCUCAGUUGGUAGAGCGCUACGUUCGGGACGUAGAGGCCGCCGGUUCGAAUCCGGCCACCCCGACCA
rnacentral:tRNA from 1 species